UGUGUGAGUGGUAAANGGAUAGCACGAGUUGGUUGGAUCUCUACUCGAGUAGCGANGUCUAGUCGUGCAUUUCUCUUCAAUUUUUGGCACGAGAGCCUCUUUGGCCUUGGCCGCAUUGUUGGUUUCCUGUGCUAUAUACCUCCAUCGAUGGAAUUUGAUGGCCAAUUCAUCCCGAGUUCUCCUACAUCUGCUUGUUAACGCGGUGCGGCUUCGGGUGAACCUAAAAGCGAAGUUCGUGUUCUGACUUCAUACAAUGGCUAUGCAGUCACGGCCCAUGAACGUAGCGUGACCUUAGGGACGCAGAAAACGUUGAGGGUAAGGGGUCAUUGACCUCUAUGUUUGCCCCAAAUUGUCAUUACACGCCCCAUUCGAUUGACUAUUGUGUCGCACAGACAUUCUAUGUCUUGUGACUCAAGUCGCCGAGGAAUGCUACCUG
rnacentral:misc_RNA from 1 species